rnacentral:lncRNA from 1 species
GUUGGUUCGGACGUCUGAACCAUCAGCACUGAACUGAUCGGGCGUCUGAACAUGCUGGUUCGAUUCCUCCUUAUUGGGCCGAUCCUCAUGAUCUGUUUCAUCCUUUUCUUCAUAUGUAUUCCUGAGUACAUCAAUAUAGAAUACUUAGAUAGUAUAACAUUCUCAGAAGUAUUAAAAUUGAAAUCAAUUAGCAAUAAAUUCACCUACUCUUGGAGUUUCUUGGUAUGACUUCUUGUAAGUGGCCCUUGAAUUGUAUCUUUUAGGUUGGAUGGUGAAUGAUUGACAUGAGAA